GUGAGGAAUUUUCCGCAAUGGGCGAAAGCCUGACGGAGCAAUGCCGCGUGAAGGAUGAAGGCCUAUGGGUUGUAAACUUCUUUUCUCAGAAAAGAAUUAUGACGGUAUCUGAGGAAUAAGCAUCGGCUAACUCUGUGCCAGCAGCCGCGGUAAGACAGAGGAUACAAGCGUUAUCCGGAAUGAUUGGGCGUAAAGCGUCUGUAGGUUGUUUAAAAAGUAUUCUGUCAAAGAUUAGGGCUUAACCCUAGAUAGGCAGAAUAAACUUUUAAGCUAGAGUUUGGUAGAGGCAGAGGGAAUUCCCGGUGGAGCGGUGAAAUGCGUAGAUAUCGGGAGGAACACCAAAGGCGAAGGCACUCUGCUGGGCCAAUACUAACACUGAGAGACGAAAGCGAGGGGAGCAAAUGGGAUUAGAAACCCUUGUAGUCC
rnacentral:rRNA from 1 species